GGCCGCUGUGGUCUAGUGGUAUGAUUCUCGCUUCGGGUGCGAGAGGUCCCGGGUUCGAUUCCCGGUGCGGCCC
rnacentral:tRNA from 1 species